GACGAACGCUGGCGGCGUGCCUAAUACAUGCAAGUAGAACGCUGAAGGAGGAGCUUGCUUCUCUGGAUGAGUUGCGGACGGGUGAGUAACGCGUAGGUAACCUGCCUGGUAGCGGGGGAUAACUAUUGGAAACGAUAGCUAAUACCGCAUAAUAGUAGAUGUUGCAUGACAUUUGCUUAAAAGGUGCAAUUGCAUCACUACCAGAUGGACCUGCGUUGUAUUAGCUAGUUGGUGGGGUAACGGCUCACCAAGGCGACGAUACAUAGCCGACCUGAGAGGGUGAUCGGCCACACUGGGACUGAGACACGGCCCAGACUCCUACGGGAGGCAGCAGUAGGGAAUCUUCGGCAAUGGACGGAAGUCUGAACGAGCAACGCCGCGUGAGGGAAGAAGGGUUUCGGAUCGUAAAGCUCGGUUGUAAGAGAAGAAAGAGUGUGAGAGUGGAAAGUUCACACUGUGACGGUAUCUUACCAGAAAGGGACGGCUAACUACGUG
rnacentral:rRNA from 1 species